AUUGAACGCUGGCGGCAGGCCUAACACAUGCAAGUCGAACGAGUGGCGGACGGGUGAGUAAUGUCUGGGAAACUGCCUGAUGGAGGGGGAUAACUACUGGAAACGGUAGCUAAUACCGCAUACCAUCGGAUGUGCCCAGAUGGGAUUAGCUUGUAGGUGAGGUAACGGCUCACAUAGGCGACGAGCCCUAGCUGGUCUGCGAGGAUGACCAGACACACUGGAACUGAGACACGGUCGAGACUCCUACUGGAGGGAGCAGUGGUGAAUAUUGCAACAUUGGCGAAAGCCUGAUGCAGCCAUGCCGGGUGUAUGAAGAAGGCUUUGGGGUUUUAAAGUACUUUCAGUGGGGAGGCGUUACCCGCAGAAGAAGCACCGGCUAACUCCGUGCCAGCAGCCGCGGUAAUC
rnacentral:rRNA from 1 species